rnacentral:tRNA from 1 species
UAAGGUGCCUGAUUAAAGGGAUGUUUUGAUGAGACUUUUAUAGCUACUAGCUCCUUAUA